CUCAUUAGCCAUCUGCACACCUGGUCCUGAUCAUCACCUCUUCUCUUCAUAAGCCCUGACCUGACAUCCAUUCCCUGCUGGAUCGUUAGCAAUGAACAUCAUCCUCCCGGAACAUUCAACUCCCUUGCCUGGCCGUCGUUGGUUUCAGAGACAUCAUUGGAGCUGCCUAUUCACUCUCAUCAACUCACCUCCGCUGCCGCUCCGUCUCCUGGAUUAUUCUAUUUUCACCUCGAGACUGUAAAUAAAUACUCACCUUCAUUUUA